GCCGGGCGCGGUGGCACGUGCCUGUAGUCCCAGCUACUCAGAAGGCUGAAGUGGAAGGAUCGCUUGAUUCCAGGAGUUCUGGGCUGUAGUGCGCUAUGCCGAUCGGGUGUCUGCACUAAGUUCGGCAUCAAUAUGGUGACCUCCCGGGAGCGGGGGACCACCAGGUUGCCUAAGGAGGGGUGAACCGGCCCAGGUCGGAAACCGCGCAGGUCAAAACUCCCAUGCUGAUCAGUAGUGGGAUCGCGCCUGUGAAUAGCCACUGCACUCCAGCCUGGGCAACAUAGCGGGACCCCGUCUUU
rnacentral:SRP_RNA from 1 species